UACGUAGGGGGCAAGCGUUGUCCGGAAUCAUUGGGCGUAAAGAGCGUGUAGGCGGUUCGGUAAGUCUGCUGUGAAAGUCCAGGGCUCAACCCUGGAAAGCCGGUGGAUACUGUCGGACUAGAGUGCGGAAGAGGCGAGUGGAAUUCCCGGUGUAGCGGUGAAAUGCGCAGAUAUCGGGAGGAACACCUAUUGCGAAGGCAGCUCGCUGGGACGUUACUGACGCUGAGACGCGAAAGCGUGGGGAGCGAACAGG
rnacentral:rRNA from 1 species